rnacentral:rRNA from 1 species
GAUGAACGCUGGCGGCGUGCUUAACACAUGCAAGUCGAACGAUAAAGCCCUGCUUGCUUGGUGUUUUAGUGGCGAACGGGUGAGUAACACGUGAGUAUCCCGCCCUCUACUCUUUGAUAUGCCUUGAAGACUGUGUCUCUUACUUCAUAUCACUUCUCGUCUCAUGUUGGGGGGUGGAGAGAUUUUUUGGUCUUGGAUGGACUCGCGGCCUAUCAGCUUUUUGGUGGGGUAAUGGCUCACCAAGGCGACGACGGGUAGCCGGCCUGAGAGGGUGACCGGCCACAAUGGGACUGAGACACGGCCCAGACUCCUACGGGAGGCAGCAGUGGGGAAUAUUGCACAAUGGGUGCAAGCCUGAUGCAGCGACGCCGCGUGAGGGAUGACGGCCUUCGGGUUGUAAACCGCUUUCGGUAGGGAAGAAGCGAGAGUGACGGUACCUGCAGAAGAAGCGCCGGCUAACUACGUG